rnacentral:rRNA from 1 species
GACGAACGCUGGCGGCGUGCUUAACACAUGCAAGUCGAACGGAAAGGCCCUGCUUUUGUGGGGUGCUCGAGUGGCGAACGGGUGAGUAACACGUGAGUAACCUGCCCUUGACUUUGGGAUAACUUCAGGAAACUGGUGCUAAUACCGGAUAGGAGCUCCUGCUGCGUGGGGGGGGUUGGAAAGUUUCGGCGGUUGGGGAUGGACUCGCGGCUUAUCAGCUUGUUGGUGGGGUAGUGGCUUACCAAGGCUUUGACGGGUAGCCGGCCUGAGAGGGUGACCGGCCACAUUGGGACUGAGAUACGGCGCAGACUCCUACGGGAGGCAGCAGUGGGGAAUAUUGCACAAUGGGCGGAAGCCUGAUUCAGCAACGCCGCGUGCGGGAUGACGGCCUUCGGGUUGUAAACCGCUUUCGCCUGUGACGAAGCGUGAGUGACGGUAAUGGGUAAAGAAGCACCGGCUAACUACGUG